rnacentral:rRNA from 1 species
CCUACGGGUGGCAGCAGUGGGGAAUAUUGCACAAUGGGCGCAAGCCUGAUGCAGCCAUGCCGCGUGUGUGAAGAAGGCCUUCGGGUUGUAAAGCACUUUCAGCGGGGAGGAAGGCGGUGGGGUUAAUAACCUCAUCGAUUGACGUUACCCGCAGAAGAAGCACCGGCUAACUCCGUGCCAGCAGCCGCGGUAAUACGGAGGGUCAAGCGUUAAUCGGAAUUACUGGGCGUAAAGCGCACGCAGGCGGUCUGUCAAGUCGGAUGUGAAAUCCCCGGGCUCAACCUGGGAACUGCAUUCGAAACUGGCAGGCUAGAGUCUUGUAGAGGGGGGUAGAAUUCCAGGUGUAGCGGUGAAAUGCGUAGAGAUCUGGAGGAAUACCGGUGGCGAAGGCGGCCCCCUGGACAAAGACUGACGCUCAGGUGCGAAAGCGUGGGGAGCAAACAGGAUUAGAUACCCGGGUAGUC